rnacentral:misc_RNA from 1 species
CUUCACACCCUUUCAACUUCAAGAACUUUUAACUCUCUAGAUAACAACAUUUUUACGUUUACAAUACCUAGUGUGUUCCUGGUUUCUCUGCUUAUUAUCCAACUCUUUUCUGUUUUAGGUUCGCCUAGAACUGCUUUGACGCCAAAAUAAAGGGAUACCCAGAUGCUUGUUAUCGUACAGGACAGGAAAAACUAUGGAAAUGUCUGUUCUUGUUGUGGUUUUCAUGUCUUUUCUGGGUUGUUUUCAACUGGGUUUAUCGCAAAGUGAAGUGUAUAUGAAGGCUUUUAUUACUUGGGAUGACAUGAAGGUAGAUGAGGGUAGAGCAAGGUUGAGUUCUAGAGAUAAUUACAAUCGAAGCCGAGUAAUUGUAGUUGACAAGAAUGGUGGAGGAGAUUCGUUAACAGUUCAAGGUGCAAUAGACAUGGUACCAGAAAACAACAUAGGAAGAGUAAAAAUUUACGUUCUUCCAGGAAUUUACAGAGAAAAGGUACUUGUACCAAGGACCAAGCCAUAUAUCUCAUUGAUUGGCCAGGAAGGCCAAAUCUAUGAUACUAUAAUUACUUGGAACAGCAAAGCUUCUGAUACAGACAGCAAUGGGGUUGAACUGGGAACCUAUAGAUCAGCAUCAGUCACCAUAGAAUCCGACUCCUUCUGCGCUACCGGAAUCACUUUUGAGAAUACAGUAGUAGCUGUGCCUGGAGGAUAUGGAAUGCAAGCAGUAGCUUUGAGGGUUUCUGGUGAAAAGGCCUUCUUCUACAAGGUCAGGAUGUUGGGGACGCAGGACACCCUCUUGGAUGAAACUGGAUCGCACUACUUUUACCAAUGUCACAUUCAAGGAAGUGUAGACUUCAUAUUUGGCAGAGGAAAAUCACUAUUUCAGGAUUGUAUCCUUCAAUCAACAGCUAAGAAAACAGGGGCAAUUGCAGCUCACCGCAGGGAUUCACCAUAUGACGAUACGGGAUUCUCUUUCGUAGGAUGCGUGAUUAAUGGAACUGGGAAAGUCCUUCUAGGAAGAGCUUGGGGGAAUUAUUCAAGGGCAAUAUACUCUUUCUGUAACUUUGAUCAUAUCAUAAUUCCUGCAGGGUGGAGUGACUGGAACAACCCACACAGGCAAAAGACUGUGGUUUUCGGGGAAUACGAGUGUAGUGGAAGAGGAGCAGAUAUUAGAGGUCGAGUGCCAUGGUUAAAGACCUUUACUUACGAGGAAGUAAAGCCUUUCCUAGGCAUGCAAUUCAUAAACGGAGACCAGUGGCUUAAACUCUAAUUUUCUUUUAUCUUUUCUUGUUAAGCUUGUUAAUUAGUUAUUCUUUUCCAAUUCCAUUUUUUAAGCUACUCCCUCAAUGCAAGUGGCCACACAGGGGAUUCGCUAUGUUAUAGGACCAAAACAUGCACACACAGCAUCACAGUGAAUUUUCCAUUUAUCGUUUCCCCUUUCUGCUUUGGUCCAG